GUUGAACGCUGGCGGCGUGCCUAACACAUGCAAGUCGAGCGAACAGACGAGGCCCUUGCUCCGCUGACGUUUGCGGCGGGCGUGAGUGUAACAUGUGGAUAACCUAUCUAUAGGGCUGGAAUAACUUCGGGGACCCGGUGCUAAUACAGGCUAUUAUAUUAAAACGCCUGGUUCCAUAGUGGACGACGGUUUUGCUGUUAUCCUUUGACUGAUCCGCGCCGCAGUAGCUAGUUGGUAGGGUAACGCCGUACCAAGGCAACGAUGCGUAGCCGACCUGAGAGGGUGAUCGGCCACACUGGAACUGAGACACGGUCCAGACUCCUACGGGAGGCAGCAGUAGGGAAUCUUGCGCAAUGGGCGAAAGCCUGACGGAGCAACGCCGCGUGAGUGAAGAAGGCCUUCGGAUCGUAAAGCUCUGUUAUUAGGAAAGAACAACUGUGUAAGAAACUGGGCACGUCUUGACGGUACCUAAACAGAAAGCCCCGGCUAACUACGUG
rnacentral:rRNA from 1 species